GACGAACGCUGGCGGCGUGCUUAACACAUGCAAGUCGAACGGAAAGGCCCUGCUUUUGUGGGGUGCUCGAGUGGCGAACGGGUGAGUAACACGUGAGUAACCUGCCCUUGACUUUGGGAUAACUUCAGGAAACUGGGGCUAAUACCGGAUAGGAGCUCCUGCUGCAUGGUGGGGGUUGGAAAGUUUCGGCGGUUGGGGAUGGACUCGCGGCUUAUCAGCUUGUUGGUGGGGUAGUGGCUUACCAAGGCUUUGACGGGUAGCCGGCCUGAGAGGGUGACCGGCCACAUUGGGACUGAGAUACGGCCCAGACUCCUACGGGAGGCAACAGUGGGGAAUAUUGCACAAUGGGCGGAAGCCUGAUGCAGCAACGCCGAGUGCGGGAUGACGGCCUUCGGGUUGUAAACCGCUUUCGCCUGUGACGAAGCGUGAGUGACGGUAAUUGGUAAAGAAGCACCGGCUAACUACGU
rnacentral:rRNA from 1 species